rnacentral:rRNA from 1 species
GAACGCUGGCGGUGCGCCUUAUGCAUGCAAGUUGAGCGAAGCUUUUUGGUAGUUUACUACUAGAAAUGACUGAGCGGCGAACGGGUGAGUAACGCGUGAGCAAUCUACCUUAGUUACUGGGAUAGCCCGAGGAAACUCGGAUUAAUACCGGAUAUUCUUAUUUUUUCACAUGAAGUUUUAAGGAAAGGUCAGCCGAACUAAGAUGAGCUCGCGUUCUAUCAGCUAGUUGGUGGGGUAAAAGCCUACCAAGGCUACGACGGAUAGCUGGUCUGAGAGGACGAUCAGCCACACUGGGACUGAGACACGGCCCAGACUCCUACGGGAGGCUGCAGCAGGGAAUAUUGUGCAAUGAGCGAAAGCUUGACACAGCGACACCGCGUGUGGGAUGACGGUUCUAGGAUUGUAAACCACUUUCAGGAGGGAAGAAAAUGACGGUACCUCCACAAGAAGACCCGGCCAACUAUGUGCCAGCAGCCGCGGUAAUACAUAGGGGUCAAGCGUUGUCCGGAUUUAUUGGGCGUAAAGAGCUCGUAGGCGGUUCAACAAGUCGGUCGUAAAAGUUUAGGGCUCAACCCUAAAAUGUCGAUCGAUACUGUUGUGACUAGGAUACGGUAGAGGUGAAUGGAAUUCCGAGUGUAGCGGUGAAAUGCGUAGAUAUUCGGAGGAACACCAAUUGCGAAGGCAGUUCACUGGACCGUGAUCGACGCUGAGGAGCGAAAGCUAGGGGAGCAAACAGGAUUAGAUACCCUGGUAGU